rnacentral:lncRNA from 1 species
AAAAUUAGGGCUCAGAUUCUUUUUAAGAUAUGUUUUGGUUAUAUUUUGGUUCAGUAUAUUCUUAUGUUCCUCUAUACUUGUCUAUGUGCAUUUUAUUGAAAUUUUUGUGAUAUUGGUGAAGAGUUUUAUUUGCCCUAAAAUUAUGGCUUAGAUAUGUUAUUGUUUUUGUUUUUUGUUAAAAUGUUUUCUUCAAUGUUUUUCUGCAUGUUAUUAUGAUUUUCCUUUGAUUAUUACAACUAAUUAAACUAAUCCCUAAAUUAGGGUUUCAACUAUUAUUUCACUUUACUCACUGAUUUUGUCUAUCUAUUUAUGACUCUUGCCUUUAAAUUAAGAGUCUGCGAUCCCAUACCUGUUUUAUUCCCAAAAAUUACUCUGUUAAAAUUCAUGUGUUUUAUUUAUACACGUACUAUUACUUCUAGUUUACCUUGAAUAAUGUUCUGAGUUUCCUUUCCUAAAUUGGUUAAUUGAUUACGUCCAUGUUUAUGUGCUCUAGUCUAAUGCUAUUUAAACCCCUCCUUUUUUACCCUUGGACAAGACUCACAACUCGAGUAUUUCUCACUACAAUAUACUAAAUUGUUAUUGUAGUCUGAUUUGACUCCUGGCCGCCCUGGAAGCUAAGGCAAGAAAUCUUCUAUUAUUUCCUGGUGUCGAUAAUCAUUAAUGCAUUGCUAACUUCUUUUUAUUUCAUAUGAACUAGUAAGUGAUUGGAGCAUUUUUCUACUUUGUUACUCAUUAAAUAUGUUAAUGCUAAUUGAUUAGCUUCUUUCUGUAUUAUAGACAUGUUUAACUCGAUAUAUUAAUUAACAAAAUCUUCUUAAUUAUGUGUAACUUAAGACUGUCUUUUCAUAUUAAGUACGUUUUGAUGCCUUUCAGCAAAAACUAGUUGAUCAUGUACCCUUAGUUUGUUGCUGAAUCCGUUAACAUGUUAUCUAAUUUUGUGUUCAUCAAGCUACUCGUCCUCACUAAUAACGAAUCUGCUUCUUGACUCAUUAUUGAUCAAUGAAUUGCCUUUCUGUGACUUAUCCUAGUUUGAAUUAUGUUAUCUUCCAUGAAAGUAUGCUCAUGAGUUGGUUAACUAUCCAUAAAUAUGCUUCCCAGUCGUUGCCUACACUCUUUUAAAUUCUGAUUCCCUGCUCAUUAAAACCCUUGUGAACUAUGAUACACCACGAUUCGGUGUAAAGUUUUCCCUGGAACUAUUGAGAUUAUUCUUCUCUAGUAUGAUUAUUGCUCUGGGUUCUCGAAGCCCUUGGGAACUUUGGAACACUAGAGAUAUGGGUUCUGUAUGAUUAUCUGUGAGAUAUGGAUGGAUCACUCACCAUUUGUCAUGUUGUACCUAUGAACAUGGGCUUCAGAGAUGCUGCGAGUUGAAGACCUGGUUCGUCCUGGUGCAUUAGGGCCUGAUAAAGGCCUUCUAUAGUUUUUAUACUCUAUCGUCCAUUCAUUCAAUUGCGGUCUAUAAUAAUUAUUUGUAAUAACGAUUUGGUCAAUAGUGAACUGGGAAAACUGGGCUUAGUUUUAACUAUUGCAUGAGAAUCGGUAGAAAUCCUGCCCAUAGGUGUUUAUUUGGCCCAUUCUACUAUUGUGUUAGAUAACCUAUCUAUACAUCUUUUCUGCUAUUUAUGUUAGAUGACAUACCAAUAGGUGUUCACUAUUAUUAUUAGAAAACUUGCCUAUAGGUUUACUUACGCGAGGAUAUAUUCUUCUAAUUGGGUGCGAAAAACUUGUCUAAAUAUUUACGUCUGCCAUCUGUCACUCCUCCUUUUUCCUACACCCCGGAAGGGAGUAUAAGGGAGUUUUUUUUCAAUUUAAAGUGACAAUCGAAACGCGAUUAUUUAUUUAAAAAUCAGAGUCGCCACUUGGGAUAAUUUAUGGUGUCCCAAGUCACCAGUUUCAAAUCCCGUAUCGAGGAAAGAUUGACUCUAUUUUACAGUCCGUGAACACAAAAAUACUGGUAAGGAAUUUUGUUAACC